rnacentral:rRNA from 1 species
UACCAGCACCCCGAGUGGUCGGGACGAUUAUUGGGCCUAAAGCAUCCGUAGCCGGUCAUGCAAGUCUUCCGUUAAAUCCAGCCGCUCAACGGUUGGGCUGCGGAGGAUACUACGUGGCUAGGAGGCGGGAGAGGCAAGCGGUACUCAGUGGGUAGGGGUAAAAUCCUUUGAUCCAUUGAAGACCACCAGUGGCGAAGGCGGCUUGCCAGAACGCGCUCGACGGUGAGGAUGAAAGCUGGGGAGCAAACCGG